rnacentral:misc_RNA from 1 species
GAUGAAGAACGCAGCGAAAUGCGAAAAGUAAUGUGAAUUGCAGAAUUCAGUGAAUCAUCGAAUCUUUGAACGCACAUUGCGCCCGCUGGUACUCCGGCGGGCACGCCUGUCCGAGCGUCAUUUCAACCCUCAAGCCAUCCUUCGGGAUGGGCCUGGUGUUGGGGCUCGGCCGCCAUCUCCGGCGGCCGUCCCCUAAAUACAGUGGCGGUCACGUCGCGACUCCUUUGCGUAGUAGAAACACCUCGCUCCGGAUAGCAACGCGGUCCACGCCGUAAAACCCCCAAUUUUCAAUGGUUGACCUCGGAUCAGGUGGGAAUACCCGCUGAACUUAAGCAUAUCAAUAAGCGGAGGA